rnacentral:tRNA from 1 species
GCGGGUGUAGCUCAGUGGCUAGAGCGUCACGUUGCCAACGUGAAUGUCGUCGGUUCGAAUCCGAUCACCCGCUC